GCCCGGUUAGCUCAAUCGGUAGAGCGUGAGACUCUUAAUCUCAAGGUUGCGGGUAAGUUCUUAAUGUACUCUACACGUCUUGUAUUACACACAACUAACAUGUUCCCAAAGGUUCGACCCCCGCAUCGGGCU